CUACGGGUUGCACCAGUGAGGAAUAUUGGUCAAUGGGCGUAAGCCUGAACCAGCCAUCCCGCGUGCAGGAAGACGGCGCUAUGCGUUGUAAACUGCUUUUCCAGGGAAAGAAAACCCCCGACGUGUCGGGGCUUGCCGGUACCCUGGGAAUAAGCAUCGGCUAACUCCGUGCCAGCAGCCGCGGUAAUACGGAGGAUGCAAGCGUUAUCCGGAUUUAUUGGGUUUAAAGGGUGCGUAGGCGGAUUAAUAAGUCAGUGGUGAAAACCUUCAGCUUAACUGGAGACUUGCCAUUGAUACUGUUAGUCUUGAGUACGGUCAAGGUAGGCGGAAUGUGUAAUGUAGCGGUGAAAUGCUUAGAUAUUACACAGAACACCGAUUGCGAAGGCAGCUUACUGGGCCAUUACUGACGCUGAGGCACGAAAGCGUGGGGAGCGAACAGGAUUAGAUACCCCGGUAGUC
rnacentral:rRNA from 1 species